AUUCUGCCCAUGCGGGGAAGGAUGGGAAACUUCGACCAAGGUUCGACCCGAGCGCCAGCGAGAGAGCGUUGCCGCAGGCAACGACCCGAAGGGCGAAGCGCGCAGCGCUGAGUAAUCCUUCCCCCACCACCA
rnacentral:sRNA from 2 species